AUGUUUUUGUGCUUCAAACAAACAUCUCCGUUGACAGAAGGUAACCGGCCUGCUGCAACCACGCAACGCCACCUGUUUUUGGAGGGACAGAAACUCAGGCAACACGCUGCUGUUUAAGUCGUAUUUCUUUGUUCAACCAAUAACUGAGAUCGGCAGAACCAGGACCCACUUCAGAAGCUUUUCUGUGAAGUUUUCCUCCUAAAGCAACAGGCUGCAGGUAUCACGGUGUGUUGCAGGAACGUGUGCAGCUCAGUUAAGUGUUGGCCCAAACUGGAUCACCGACGGGAUCCCAAACACAGCCGCAUAUCUACAACAGAAUGACUGAAACAGAGAAGAAUAAAGAUGUCGGAAUGGCCGACAGCUGGUGCUUGGCCCAAAAAGGAUUCCUGACUGUUUCCAUUCUGGACCCCAUGCAGCCAUGUCAGGUGCUGUCUCCACCUUCCCGUUUCCUUCAGAUCUUCCAGAUCAGAGAUUUCAGAAGAAAAGGAGAAGGUGUUGUGUUGACUGGACUGCUAAAUGUUCAGCAUUUUAUUUAAAAACAUUUAGUGGGAAACAUCUUGUAAAACCCAUAUAGUGCAAUACACAAAUUUAAUAAAACCUAUUUAGGUACCCAGAAGGAACGGUCUGAUUAUGACUUAAUUUAACAAACAGACAGUACAGUGAUAGGUAUCUGCAGGGAGAGAAACAACUUUCAUAAACAAUAACAAAUUCCACUAAUUUAGUGAGUUUUCUGUUACAAAGAAAUAAGAAAAUGUCUGUUUCUGUUGUGAAUAUGUUAUGAAGAAAGAUAUCAGCCAAAGAUGAAGAAAAUACAUACAAGUUCAACUGAUCAGGUUGCAGUGCGUGGCGUAUAGUUGUAGAGCAAAGCAAUGCACAUAGAGAAGCCUCAGUCCUCAACACAGCCGUCCCGGGUUCGAGUCCCGACCCGGAGACCUGUGCUGAAGGUCUUCCCACUCUCUCCAUCCCACUUCCAGUCUGCCUGCUUUGGACAAACAACAGAAAGAAAGGCCACUAGUAACACAAACAAAAACCAACAUUUAAAGUUCAGGCACUAAGUUUGGUAUUUAUGGAUGGGAGGGAUGGGAUAAAAAUUAGAACUACCAGGUUCUGGGGAAGAGGAGAACCACAGAGAAGCUUCAUAGGUCUCAUGCAGGAUGUGGUGUGACAGAAGGAUGUUAUAAUGGAGGAGAUGAUCAGUUUAUUUAAAGUCAACUUUCAAUCAGGAACCAAUGAGGAACAAGGAGAACCAGUUAGUUAAUAUACAGAGUGAAGUGCAAUGUGAAACAAUGGGAAGGGAGGCAGGUAAUCACGUGAUUAAUGACGGGUGUGAUGACCAGCUGAGGGAAUUACGUGACUGUGGAUACUGGUGCAUGGGAACAGAGAGACAUGGGGAAAACUGGACUAAAGACACUCAAGGAAACAGAUCUAAGGAAAUGCAUAAACAUAAAUACAGUGAUCAAAAUACUAACAGGGAAGGCAGGGACAUGAGGAACAACCUAACUGUAAAAGCAAAGGUAAACAAGCACAAAAAUGUGUCUCUGGCCCUGUCUUUCAGUGUUUAACCCUUUCUCUCUCCUAGACAUGGCUACUGACUGAGCUUCUACUGUGACUAACUCUAUGUGCUCUCUUUCAGACUCUA